AUUGAACGCUGGCGGCAGGCCUAACACAUGCAAGUCGAGCGAGCGGCGGACGGGUGAGUAAUGUCUGGGAAACUGCCUGUUGUGGGGGGAUAACUACUGGGAACGGUAGCUAAUAACGCAUACCAUCAAAUGUGCCCAGGUGGGAUUAGCUAGUAGGUGGGGUAAUGGCUCACCUAGGCGAGGAGCCCUAGCUGGUCUGAGAGGAUGACCAGCCACACUGGAACUGAGACACGGUCCAGACUCCUACGGGAGGCAGCAGUGGGGAAUAUUGCACAAUGGGCGCAAGCCGGAUGCAGCCAUGCCGCGUGUGUGAAGAAGGCCUUCGGGUUGUAAAGCACUUUCAGCGGGGAGGCGUUACCCGCAGAAGAAGCACCGGCUAACUCCGUGCCAGCAGCCGCGGUAAUUC
rnacentral:rRNA from 1 species